rnacentral:rRNA from 1 species
AUUGAACGCUGGCGGCAGGCCUAACACAUGCAAGUCGAGCGGAUGAAGGGAGCUUGCUCCUGGAUUCAGCGGCGGACGGGUGAGUAAUGCCUAGGAAUCUGCCUGGUAGUGGGGGAUAACGUCCGGAAACGGGCGCUAAUACCGCAUACGUCCUGAGGGAGAAAGUGGGGGAUCUUCGGACCUCACGCUAUCAGAUGAGCCUAGGUCGGAUUAGCUAGUUGGUGGGGUAAAGGCCUACCAAGGCGACGAUCCGUAACUGGUCUGAGAGGAUGAUCAGUCACACUGGAGCUGAGACGCGGUCCAGGCUCCUACGGGAGGCAGCAGUGGGGAAUGUUGGACGAUGGGCGAAAGCCUGAUCCAGCCAUGCCGCGUGUGUGAAGAAGGUCUUCGGAUGGUAAAGCACUUUAAGUUGGGAGGAAGGGCAGUAAGUUAAUACCUUGCUGUUUUGCCGUUACCAACAGAAUAAGCACCGGCUAACUUCUU